rnacentral:rRNA from 1 species
GACGAACGCUGGCGGCGUGCCUAAUACAUGCAAGUCGAACGCAGUGGGGACGGGUGAGUAACAAGUGGGUAACCUCCCAUCAGAGGGGAUAACACUUGGCAACAGGUGCUAAACCGAUACUGAUGGAUGGACCCGCUGGGCAUUAGCUAGUUGGUGAGGUAGCGGCUCACCAAGGCCACGAUGCAUACCCGGCCUGAGAGGGUGAUCGGCCACACUGGGACUGAGACACGGGCCAGACUCCUACGGGAGGCAGCAGUAGGGAAUCUUCGGCAAUGGACGAAAGCCUGACCGAGCAACGCCGCGUGAGUGAAGAAGGUUUUCGGAUCGUAAAACUCUGUUGUUAGAGAAGCGUUAUCUAACCAGGAAGCCCCGGCUAACUACGUGCCAGCAGCCGCGGUAAUUC